rnacentral:rRNA from 1 species
CGUAGGUGAACCUGCGGAAGGAUCAUUACCGAGUGAGGGCCCUCUGGGUCCAACCUCCCACCCGUGUCUAUCGUACCUUGUUGCUUCGGCGGGCCCGCCGUUUCGACGGCCGCCGGGGAGGCCUUGCGCCCCCGGGCCCGCGCCCGCCGAAGACCCCAACAUGAACGCUGUUCUGAAAGUAUGCAGUCUGAGUUGAUUAUCGUAAUCAGUUAAAACUUUCAACAACGGAUCUCUUGGUUCCGGCAUCGAUGAAGAACGCAGCGAAAUGCGAUAAGUAAUGUGAAUUGCAGAAUUCAGUGAAUCAUCGAGUCUUUGAACGCACAUUGCGCCCCCUGGUAUUCCGGGGGGCAUGCCUGUCCGAGCGUCAUUGCUGCCCUCAAGCACGGCUUGUGUGUUGGGCCCCCGUCCCCCUCUCCCGGGGGACGGGCCCGAAAGGCAGCGGCGGCACCGCGUCCGGUCCUCGAGCGUAUGGGGCUUUGUCACCUGCUCUGUAGGCCCGGCCGGCGCCAGCCGACACCCAACUUUAUUUUUCUAAGGUUGACCUCGGAUCAGGUAGG